rnacentral:rRNA from 1 species
ACCCGCUGAACUUAAGCAUAUCAAUAAGCGGAGGAAAAGAAACCAACAGGGAUUACCUCAGUAACGGCGAGUGAAGCGGUAACAGCUCAAAUUUGAAAUCUGCCUACAGGCCGAGUUGUAAUUUGUAGAAGAUGCUUCGGGUGAGGCACCGGUCUAAGUUCAUUGGAACAUGACGUCAUAGAGGGUGAGAAUCCCGUAUGUGACUGGUUGCCUAUGCUCAUGUGAAGCUCUUUCAACGAGUCGAGUUGUUUGGGAAUGCAGCUCAAAAUGGGUGGUAUAUUUCAUCUAAAGCUAAAUAUUGGCCAGAGACCGAUAGCGCACAAGUAGAGUGAUCGAAAGAUGAAAAGCACUUUGGAAAGAGAGUUAAACAGAACGUGAAAUUGUUGAAAGGGAAGCGCUUGCAAUCAGACUUGCACGUUUUUGAUCAUCCGGUGUUCUCACCGGUGCACUCGAUUUCGUUCAGGCCAGCAUCGGUUUUGGUGGUUAGAUAAAGACCUUAGGAAUGUGGCUCUUUCGGGAGUGUUAUAGCCUAGGGUGUAAUGUAGCCUACCGGGACCGAGGACCGCGCUUCGGCUAGGAUGCUGGCGUAAUGGUUGUAAGCGACCCGUCUUGAAACACGG